GGAACUAAUGAUUGGUUUGGCCGUUGCAGCAGGGGGUUCAAAUUGAUUGACGGACGUAGCUCCACUAUACUCCUGAACACUUCUGGACAGACCAGUCUUCUGUGGCUGCAGUGCCGAGUCCGCCGACGGAGUCUCUGCUUAUCGGCGGCUUCAUGCCCGUGUAGCGUCGGACAGCCGAGGUGGAUUUGUCCAUUUCUGUCUGUGCUUUUCAGUUUUGCCUUUCAUUUUUUUUGUUGCUGUCUAAUAAAGACAGAACUUGUCCUGGACUUGUCACAGAUGAAUCCCCAACAGGCCCUCUGCUGUAAAACGCUGGGUGUAUCCCUCCUGACCCUACAAACUGCAGACCUUGUCUUAGCUCUGUCAAUCUUUAUCAAAUACUGUACAUCUGAUCAUUUUCAUCAGCAGAUUUAAAAUGUCUUAUCCCAUUUUGUCAAUGUCCUUUCAAUGUGCACAAUAUUUCAGCAUCAAGAAAGAAGUUAUGGUUACACAAAUAAAAGACAUCUGAUAAACACUCAAAA
ensembl:lncRNA